GUCCUUUCGUCUGUAUAAAACAAUGCGGUAAGGUUGUCAAUAAGGCAACUAUCUUUAGACUAAAGAACAAAGUUUGUUUUUCUUUCUGUGUAACAUAGUCAUCUUUUUUGUUAGUUGUUGUUCCAAUAUUUAGCAAAUCCAGUGAAUAUAACGCUAAUAGGAAUUUGGCUAAAUUGAUUCGAACUAACAACCCACAAAUGAAGUGUAGAAAAUAAACCAAACCUUUAUGGAAAGAUUAAAUUGGCUUGAGAAAUUUGAGAAUAAAGUAAUGCUUUUGUUAUACCCAUGCAUCGACCUCUAGUUUUCAGUAUCCAAACAUUCGUUAAAAGUCGGCCGAUUCCGUAACACCAUCUAAGAUAACUCCAUUUAAGAUAGAUGGAGAAAAGCGAAGUCACCCGAGGUUAGCCGAUAGCGUAUCCAAUAUAACAAGUCAUAAAGUUAAUUAUACUAAACAUAAUGCAUCUUUUAUAACAAGCCAAUAAACUUCAGGUAAACUAAAUCACGACUUAGAGAUAAGUUUACACAAACAUUAUCAAUAUUUAUUAUCUUAUGUCUGUGAGAAGUGUGUAUGAUUGAAUUAGGGCUACUUACAAACCAAUUUUCUGUUUACUAAUUCAAUUAGCGCGUGUUAAGCAACAUGCAAGAAGUCUUUAACAGGUAUUUGGAUACAAAUGUUAUAUCUUACGUUUUCUCAUACAUCUCUUGAACGACGUUAAUGAGGGUGCGUUUGAAUGAUACACUUAUACUAGGACAAUAUACGUCCCUUGAAAAUUUCGCCACUUCAUACAAAAUAAAUUAAUAAAUAAUGACAAUCAUUAUAAAACAAACAACUAUUAACAUUGAGUAACACGAAACAACUGAAAUACAAAUAGGAAAAUAGAAAAAACGUUCUGAUGCGACCGUUACAAGUAAAAUAUGUAAAAAAAAAAAAAAAAAAACAAGAAAAAAACACAAAAAAAAACAUGAAACUAAAGCUCGGGUCAUAAAAGUUAACAUAAAGGCAGCACAAAAUGCGACUUUUAAUUUUAAUUUUGUUCUAGCUAAGUCAAAAGCUGCAAAAUCUUAAAUCCUAUUACUGUUUACAUUAAUUUCUGUUUUCUUUAAAACGUCUUAUCAUGAACUGCAUUUCGCUACCAAAUACCAAUUGAAAACAAAAGCUGUACAUGUCUUACUAACUAUCCUAGUAUGUUAAUUAUCUGCCUUAAAAUUGAGAAUCGAAAUGGGGAAUGUGUUAAAGAGACAACAACCCCGCCAAAGAGCAGAAAACUGCCGAAGGCCACCAAAGGGUCCGUACCGCAGCCCCUAAAUGAAACUAGUUCAGUGAAAAUGACGUCACACUAAAAUAUAAAACAAAGCUAAGAAACAUGUAUUGACUACCAAAGACCAGAGACUCCGGACUUGGGACAGGCGUAAAAAAAUCAGCGGGGUUAAACAUGUCAGUUUGGGAAAUCUGAGCCCUCCCCUAUACCUUGCAUAUCUAUUAUAGCUAAUACAUGUAUAAAAAUACGUCAUGGCUAAUAUAUAUUUGUUUAUAUUUUUACUUUUAUGUGAUCUUGCAUUUAUGUUGUACUAUUAUAUGUUUGUUUGUAUUGACG
rnacentral:lncRNA from 1 species